AAUAGCAAGGCCGGACGUUUCUCUCUCUUUCUCUUUCUCUCUCUAUUUCUUUCUGCAAAUCUCUCUAUAAAUAAAACAUCGAAGAAGAAGAUUGCAGAUCGCAUCUGCAAUUUCAGUGUGAAAGAGAGAAAGAGAAAGAACUAUCAAGGUCUUCGUCGUCGUCGUAUUUCUCCCGCCUUCUUUACCAUUAACCGCCUACCAAAGUGAUUAAAAGGGAAUUUGUGGAAGAAAUCAUUGAAUUAUGUUCAAAACAUCACCACGAAGGCAUCAAAGAUCUAAAGGCUUCAAGGUGAAGCAUGCUAUACAGUUAUGUGUUUUGAUUGCUGUAGGACUAUGGUUAGUUUACCAGGUUCAGCAAUCCAAUUACAAGAAGGCAGCUUCGCUGGAACAAAAUGCUAAACUGUCGAAUAAUUUGAAGAAUGGGGAUGAUUUCUUAAAGUUAGGGAGGAAAGAUCUUGAUAAUCGUAUUGAUGAUGCCACUAUUAUUGAUCAAAGGCAUAGAGAGGAGGAAGAGGAAGAAGAAACUACUAAAACUUUCCACGAAGAAAUCAAAUCCGAAGAGGGUGGUGGUGAUGUAGAAGGGAAAAGCAGUGUGGAUGAUGAUCUUCUUAAAGAUAACCAAGAAAAAGUUGGGGAGGAAAGUGAGAGAGAAAAUACAACGGAUGCUGAGAAGGAAGUGGAAGAGACCAACAAAGAGAACGAGGUUAAAGAGACCAAAGAAGAAAACCCAGAAUCAGAAAGCAAAGAUGGAGAAAAUGAGGAAAACAAGGAUUUGGAAGUGGAGAAUGAGAACAAAGGAGGACAGGAAGAGCAGAAUGAAGGUGAAGAGAAGGAAGAAAUAAGAGAAGAGAGUGAUGAGAAGCAAAACGGAGAAAAUGAAAACGAGGAAAAGGAUAAUAGAGAGGAAGUGAUUCAAAUGAGUGAAGAGAACAAAGAAAAGCAACCUGAGGAAGAAGAGAAGGAAGUGAAAGAGGAGUGGACUGAAGAUAACAAAGAAAGACAAAAUGAGAAUGAAGGAAAGGAAACCCAGGAAGUGGUAAAUGAAGAGAACAAAGAAAAGCAAAGUGAACAGAAUAAUGGGAGUGAAGACAAGGAAAUUAAGGAGGACUCAUUUGAAGAGAACAAGGGAAAACAUGGCGAAUUUGAAAAGGAAGAAAUUGCUGUCAAAGAGGAGCAGGUUGAAGAGAACAAGGGUAAACAUGGCGAUCUGAACGAGAACGAAGAAAAUGCUAUCAAAGAGGAGAAGACUGAAGAGAUCAACACGAAUGAAACCAAAGUGGAAAAUUCAACAAGAAACGAGAAGGAUUCAAUAGAAGGCCAAUCCAAAGAAACAGUGGAGAAAAUCGAGAAUGUUAAAGAUGGAGACAAUUCAGGUUCUUCAAAGGAUCUUACUCCAGAUGGUAAUAAUGUAAAGGAUGAUACCGAUUCCAAAAAUACAAAUGAAAACGCCAAAGAGAGUCCACAGAACUCAGAUGGAGAAGUACAGAUCAAAAUCGCAGAACAAAAUCAGCUUAUUCAGAAUAAUACUGACACAAACCAAAAUGAAUUGCCAUCAGUUUCUGCAGAAAGUGAGACAGUUAAAAAAGAAGAGUCCUCUGAUGCUAAAGAUCAGGACAAUAAUGUUCAGACAAAGGAUAAUCCAAAUUCGAGCCCAAGCGAAACAAAAGAAGACAACCAGAGUAAGUCAACAGAGAGUGUUGUCUCUGAAGGAGAUGGCAUCCAAACCGUUGUGAACGAACAAAAAGAAACAAAGCCAGACUCGGAAAAGUCAAACCCAACAGAAGAGAACUCCGGUAAGGAAUUUGAUACAUACCAAAUACUUAAAUGCUUUUUAUCAAAAAUAUAUGUCAUGUUGUGAGACUGAUUUCAAAUUUAAAACCAUUUUUCUGCAGGAAAUAAUAAGGGUUCUGAAGCUUCGACCUCAACUGACAAUGAAACAGCAAAUGCAAACAUAAACACAAACGAAAGCGAAGCAAACAAUUCAACUAAAUCUUCUAACACUACUGAAAGUGUAGAAGUAAAUGAGAAUGUUCCAUCCACAGUUGAUUCCUCUAAUUCAACAUCAAUCCCUGAACCAGAGGUUAAGACCAAUGAGGCCGCGUCUAACAAGUGACGUCUCCUAUGAGUUGUUUUCAGUUGUCGUAUUUGUGCGUAUGUCUUUCGUAUCCAAUUCUUUGUUUUUGUUUCUCCUCCAAUCUUUAGAGUAUAUUUAUUUUGCAUAGGUAAAACCAAGGAUGUUUAAGCUUGUCCAUUUGUCUUCUAUAUUUUCAUAUUUAUGAAUUCCACUAAUGGUGUCCAUAGCUCUUGAACAUUUCUUUUUUUGCAAAUUUAUAUAUCUAGAUUGAUGGUUAUGAU